UGACAUGAGAGCCAUCUGGCUGUGAUAUUGAUCACCCCACUGAAAUGACAGGGUUGAUUUAGUUGAUCUGACUGGUGGGUGGCCCUUUCCUCCCUCACUGUUCCAUGUGUGGCCCUACUAAACCUGCACAGUCAGUCAGAGGAGGACCUUCUCCAGUAGAGGAGAACUGCCAAAGCUCAAGGUUUGUAUGUAGCUGUGCUCUCCUGCUAGAACCUCCCAACACGCAAAGUCUUUAUUCUCUAGAAUCAGAAUAAAUAGCAGGAUGUAUGCAUGUAUGUAUGCCUGCAUGCAUGCAUGCGUGUGGUGC
rnacentral:snRNA from 1 species